GUGUAGCGCAAUGGUAGUGCGAAAGACUUCUAAUCUGUAGGUUGUUGGUUAAA
rnacentral:tRNA from 1 species